AUGGGCAUGCACGCGCGGUCCAAGUCCAACAGCAUGGUGGAGUCCCUCUACGCCUCGCUUGCGCGAGGCGAUGUGGCGGCCGUGGCCGUUCUGCUGGCGGCGGACCUGGACUGGUGGUUUCAUGGGCCGCAUAGGUGCCAGCACAUGCGGCGCCUACUAGCCGGCGAAGUGAAGGGGGCGCUCGCGUUCCGGUUCGCGCCAGCAAGGGUUGAAGAGGUUGGUGGCGCCGCCGAAGGCGACGAGCAAUGGGUGGUGGCGGAAGGCUGGGCGGGCGAGCAUGACUAUUGGGUGCAUGCAUGGUGCCUCCGUGCUGGCGUCAUCACCAGCUUUCAUGAGUACUUCAACACGUCUGUCACGGUUCGAAAGCUAGGCCAGCCAGCUAAGGAGGACGUGGUGUGGGCCAUCUGGGAGAGUCAGUCACCUAGACCCAGGGGCCGCUCCAUGCCAGGCCUAGUGCUUGCCAUAUGA
rnacentral:rRNA from 1 species